UCGACCUAGACUUGCGGCUGGUCGGAUGUGAAGUACAAAGGAGACCCGGAGCCAGGGGUGUCUCACAGAAGAUGGGUUGAUGAUAGAGGUGCUCAGCCUGAAUCUGAAGGGAUGCAUGAAUGGAGGGAAGCUCAAAGCUGCUGGAUCUCAGGUGCCCUCGUCAGCCAGCAGCACAGCCCCAGGCCCCUCUCCUCGUCCUCCACUGCUCACCUGUAGCUGCCCGCCACCACCUGCUCGCAGUCGAUGAGGAUGAACUUCUCCAGGGCCUGCCCAGUGAAGCGGCGGCCUGCCUUGCUGCAAUCCUCAAAGAUGUCUGUGGAUCAACUGUCCUAGUCCAAAGCCUCACUCUACCUUGAGUGAGGGGGACAGGAGUCAGAAACAGAACCCAGCCUCCAAAUCCCAGGCAAGUUCCUGUGCUCUCCCUGUUAACUCUGGCCCUUACUCUAACCCAGGGACUGUCUGUCUGAGGCUCCCCUCUUAGGGAUCAGAGCAGUAAGCCAGUGACUGGAGUCUUCAAUGCCCUUUUCCAGUCCUGCCUCAGUUUCCCUGUGAAGCUGCAGAGGUCUGGUGUGAAACUUUACACUCACAGACUCACUUACUUACAUCCAUGCCAAGUGGAACCAAGUUUCCUGCUCAGUUGAGGGCUGGGCUGGGGCUUGUGCCCCCAUCCCAUAUAAGGGGCUGCCUCAGAGAGGCCCAUGAAACCCCCCUGGCACCUUCAAGCCCCCAGUUGACACUUCUUCCCAUUGCCUGUAUCUGCUGUGAGGAUUUUCUCUCCCAGGCAGAGCCAGAGCACAGCAUCCAGCCCUGGAGGCAGACAGAACUGAGUGCAAACCUGGACUCUGCUACUUCCUAGGGGUAGGGCCUCAGGAGAGUCACUUCACCUCUGGAAGCCUCAACUUCCUCAUCUGUUAAGUGGAGAUGAUGACAGCUACGUCUCUGAGUUAUGGGGAAUUAAAUGUGAAAAUGCUCAACACACAACAAGCUCAAUAAAUGUUCCUUUCCCA